rnacentral:lncRNA from 1 species
UUGGUCAAACAACAAUGCAUUCAUUCAUUCAAACAUAAAAGUGUUAUCCUCCAACAGAGGAGUUUACAGAAAGCAGAGUGAGAGCAGACUUUGCCACCAAGUCAGCCUCGCCAUUAAAGGUCCUAGAGAUAAAGUGAAAAGAAAUCCGAUCAAAGUACGACAAAGCAUGAUAGAUAUCAAACAUGAUACCGAACAGUUCAGGUUGAGUGGCUUCCUUCUUCGCUAUUAUUCAAACAGCACCCCCAAAUAUUCAAAGUUUUAAUCCGUGUUUCUAACAAUGUAACAUACAACAAAAAAAUUGAGUAAGGACUCAAGGUAUAUAUGAUUAGUAGAAGAAAAUAUAAGUAGCCGAAAAUAUAAUCGUUAGUCUUACUUUCAAACGCCAGUCUAUAUAUUUGAGAUUGAUGUAAUUUUCAUGUAAAAUACAAUAUUGUGUCACUUUGCAUGUUACUAUCAGAUCCAAAUGAUUAAUUGAUAAUUACAUAGUGAAAAAUACGAGGCGAACGAGUAUGAAAAUAUACGCACCGGUGAUAUAUUUGGUGACGAUUGUCUCAAAUCCAAAGCGGCAAGUGUCGCAGUAAACACAUCCUUCUAUAUGAAAUGGUGUUCCAGCCGCCAUGGCCGCAAGUGGCAGUAGCAAAACACACAUCACGGCGAGCAGAGGUGUAUAUGAUCUAGCCAUCUACAUAAACAACUGAAGAAUGAUACUAUAAUUUUUGGAGUUUGUUUUUUUUUUUGAGAGUUUGUUGCUUGUGAAGGGGUUUUGUGAAUUAAUUAUUUGCGAGCUACCUAGUAUAUAUAAGAAGGAAGCUGAAAGGCACAUGUAUCAAAGAUGUAAGUGUAUCGCAUCGUGUGCGAAUUAAAAAAAAAGCUUGCUUAGUGUCGGCUAGAUCCAAUUGCGGCUCCUCCUCCGCCUUCUACGGCAAAUGUGGAUAGAGUUUGUGUUGCCUCCUCCACAUGUCUAACUCGUACGGUUCUUGUUAAUUCUAGUCUACGUUUUAAGCUUUUUUUUUUAACAACCAAUGCUUAUAUUAAAAUUAAACGCCCAAUGGGCUAAGUCGAUUACAACCGAAGAGAUAUUCGACGGUAAAAUGAUAAGCAAACAUAACUAAAACAUAAAAAAGAUAGAUGUGGCUAAGGAAAAAAGAACCCCGUAGAAAAUCUUCGCUUGUUGUCCUAAAGCCCGCGUUUGAAAGAACAUACAAAAGUCGACAUUGACGUUGAAGAACCCAACCAAUGGGUUUUGAGAACAAUUGAAAACCGUCUCUGAAAAUGCAUGGAUCUCCCGACGUUGCAGUGACACUGAAGUGCAGAGAAGUUGCCGGAGUAGGACUACACACAUAAUCGUCGACGGUACAACCGCUAAAGAAAAACAGUUAACAAAGUCAGGAGAAGGCAUUGACAAUGAUUGCUUGGCCGGCAAGAGAUGCAAAAUCCAAACAUGGUGAACAUCCACAAGAUCGAGGCCGCCUUAGUAACUACAUAGUUACAGGUGAACAUUGACAACCUCUAUGUUUCGAGCUACGGUUUAUUUUUUUGGACAAGUAUAGAUUGUUAUUUUCAGGAUUAUUUUCACUAGUUAUUAGUUUAUCAUUUCUUCAGUCUACGUGAAAAGAACAAAACAUGGUGAACAUCUACAAGAUCGAGGCCGCCUUAGUAACUACAUAGACAGACUUGUCAGGGACCGCAUUGACUCACUCCGAGGCUCUGCAAAUGGCAGCUUUGACACACACUUGCAGGCUUGGUUUACAAGCUGAUGAGAGAAGAUGAGAGCUUUAGAAUCAGUUUUUUAAAUAGUUUCUAUAAACACAACUCAAACAAAGUUACAUAGGUUGUAAAAAAAAAAUUUGAUCAGAAUAAAUUUAACAUUCAUUCAAAAAUAACAAAAAAAAUCGUUUUCACAGAGUUUUCUAGACUGAAUCAAAGGCGUUGAUUUUUAUUUUUAAGUAGAAGACCAAGAAAACAAUAUGUUUUUAUUAGAUAAAAAUUAUUAAAUUUCCUCUUCAAAUUGCGUAAUGGCUUUUCCAUACCAUGUUGAUCCAUGAUUUUGUAUCGUAGGUUGGUUAUGUACAGUAUUAUUUAAUUUAAAUAAAAAUUAUAAAUAGUGAUGACUAAUUAAUUUUGUCUUGAUUAAAUUCAGUUUUGACGUUAACCGUGGCUUAUAAUAACAGGAAAAACGUUGGUACUUGGAAGGUGAAAGUGACCGCGGGAUUAGUAAAAGUCUUGUCCAUUUGAUGGUCGGUUACAUUAGCAGCAAUUGAUCUUAUGAACAAGACUUAUUGGGCCCAGAGGAACCGAUGACAGCCACUACACGUCUUAAAUACAAACAAAAUAGUCCACAAAAGAGAAAGCGCCAGAGAGUCCCCAAGUCUGGAAAGCCGAUAAGUCAACACGGAACUCUCCUUCCUCCAAGUCAGGCAAAGAAGCCGUAUGAGAAACAUUCUUUGAACAUGUGAUUAAGGCCCUGUUCGUUACGGAAUCGCUGCGGCAGCGACCAGAAAAUUAACACUAAUGAAGAGCGAAGUAGCUAUGGUGGAACAGAAAUAGUCGCUGGAAGUGAUUUCCGGAUAACUCCGUGACGUCUUUUAUGGACGCCAAUUUUUUCAGCGACGUCUCUUGUUUGCCGCUGCGACACUAAAUAGCUCCUUCACCCACGUUUCACUCCAUUAAUUAAUAGAAUCACUGUUAUAUUUUCUGUCGCUGCUGCUGCCGCAGCGGUUCUGAAACGAACAGGGCCUAAGGAGGGAGGAGUACGAAGAUGAGGUGGCGAUGAGGAUGCAUGCGUGGGACAUGGAAGGGAUGCCUCUAGGGAAGGAGUCCCCAAGUCUCCUUUGCAAAGUAAGCCGUAUUCUUCUUCGCCGUGAAGCAAACACAGUUUUUUUAUUGUUGGGUGCAAAUGUUAGAAGCAAACAAAGUUGUUUUGGGUCAAAGUGCAAACACAGAUUUUAACCGAACAGAGGGAUACACAAGCAAGCUCGAAGUAAUUCUCUGUCGACAAAGCAAGGUCCAAAUUUGAAAGUGUCUUGCAUAGAUUUUUUUUUUUUUUAGUUUUUUUGGUCAAACAACAAUGCAUUCAUUCAUUCAAACAUAAAAGUGUUAUCCUCCAACAGAGGAGUUUACAGAAAGCAGAGUGAGAGCAGACUUUGCCACCAAGUCAGCCUCGCCAUUAAAGGUCCUAGAGAUAAAGUGAAAAGAAAUCCGAUCAAAGUACGACAAAGCAUGAUAGAUAUCAAACAUGAUACCGAACAGUUCAGGUUGAGUGGCUUCCUUCUUCGGUAGAGAGACGAGGGAGAGCGAAUCGGUUAGAACGGCCAGGGAUCGGACGUUUGAAUAGACGGAUGUAACAACCGCGAGGCGAACAGCUAUGGCCUCUGCCAUA